AUUGUAUUAAGUCAUACAAAAGUGUGCCUGACGUUUUAAAUGCAUUCUGUCAUUACUAAAUGUGUAAUGUGAUAGGUAUUUUAACAUGACCAUUUUCUAAAAAUGAUUUAAUCAGUCGUCUUCCUCAAAUUAAGGGGAUGAUGACACAAUCUUUGGAGAGCGGGAGGGAAUCUGAUUUCAUUGGUCCUCAACACGCAGCUCAGACGCUCGGUUCAAAAUAAAUGGAGUUAGCCCUGAGUUGGCUUGCCGGUUUGUUCUGAGGGAUUCGUUGUCAUAGAAUUGUAGCUGGCUAAUUUGGUGAGCCAUAUCCGUGGUACCGGUUAUCCCAAAUUGAACUCGGAGUUGGCCAAAGUUACCUCGCUAAUUUCUCAAACCUGGUUUGUAGUGUAAUAAGGCUCUGACCACUGAUAGAUGAUAUUGGUUAGACUAAUACUAGGGUUGUAAAAUUCUGCUAACUUUUACAGAAAUACUGGUUGGAGGAUUCCGGAUGUCCUAUUUAUUCCCUCUGGGAAUAUUCCAACCGGGAAUUUUGGGGAAAAUUACCUUCAUUUUCCAACCCUUAACUGUAGCAGACUAUUGAUUAUGUGUGAGAGAAUGAGUAUAAAAUAUUUACAGAUGUAACGAUGCUGUUGAAUGAGUAUAAAAUAUUUACAGAUGUAACAAUGCUGUUGAAUGAGUAUAAAAUAUUUACAGAUGUAACGAUGCUGUUGAAUGCUGGUUUUGUGUCAACUCUCAGAAGAAAUUCAAAUAACACAUCUCAUUUCUUUCAAAGAUUUUAUGCUACAAUGCACAGUCGGACAGAUCCCCACCCUCCCAUUUAUCAAUCAGGGCAGAGGUUGUACAUUACAAAAUGGUGACAAGGAUGGGAUUGUUGUAUGGUUUUCCACAAACCUAACAUUUAGGCCUGUCAAAUGAUGGGAAAAAUAUAUAUAAUUUGUAUAUAAAAUAUAAUUUGCUGUGAUUUUCUCAAGGACUGUAAUUUAAUCAUUUUCAUACAUACAAUAUGGAUGUAGCGAUUAAUCAAAUGAGUUAAAUGGAGAGCUUUCUUUAAUCUCAAUGUCCACUUGUUUUUUACAUGGCAUUGUGGAUUUUAGCUGUAAAGAUGAUGUAUUUUGGAUAUUUUCAGUAAAUUUACAAUCCUUUCAGACAAUGUGAUUAAUCGCAAGGGGGGGGGGAAGUGCACUAAAAUGACAAAAAGUUAACUGAUUUAACUCUUUGACAGUCCUAACAAGAAAACAAGCUUACAUGCAUUUAAAUGGAUACUUCGGGCUUUUGGCAAAUGAGGCCGUUUAUCUACUACUUCCCCAGAAUCGGAUGAACUGAUGAACCAUUUUUUGUGUCUAGUAUGAAGGAAGUUAGAGUUUCACAAGCCAAUGCUAACUAGCGUUACCCAUAGUCUUCCAGUCAUUGUGCUAUGUG
ensembl:lncRNA